ensembl:lncRNA
AUCAGCUGAUAUCUCAAGGUGCUGUACAGAAACCCAGCCUAAAACCCCAAACAGCAAGCAAUGCAGGUGUAGAAGCACGGUGGCUAGGAAAAACUCCCUAGAAAGGCCAAAACCUAGGAAGAAACCUAGAGAGGAACCAGGCUAUGUGGGGUGGCCAGUCCUCUUCUGGCUGUGCCGGGUGGAGAUUAUAACAGAACAUGGCCAAGAUGUUCAAAUGUUCAUAAAUGACCAGCAUGGUCGAAUAAUAAUAAGGCAGAACAGUUGAAACUGGAGCAGCAGCACAGUCAGGUGGAAGUUGAAACUGGAGCAGCAGCAUGGCCAGGUGGACUGGGGACAGCAAGGAGUCAUCAUGUCAGGUAGUCCUGGAGCUCAGGUCCUAGGGCUCAGGUCCUCCGAGAGAGAGAAAGAAAGAGAGAAGGAGAGAAU